UUUCAUGAAAAGAAUUAUGAAGGAGAACGUAGAAGGGAUAGAAAUUUGUUUUUGUAAGAUAUUGGUAAAGUAGAUUAAUCAUUCCUAGGAUAGUCAAUUCAAUAGGAUGGGUGAUUGAAUUAGUUGUGAAAAAUAAUUAAGUACGGAAUGACAGUUAAAAUCUGGAAUUUCAGAAGUAAAGCAUAAAUAAGUUGAAGAAGAUAUUGUAAGGGCCAGACUGUGAUAGUCAUGAACCAAGGUAAGCUUGGUGCUACCUCUUUGUUUUUUUGUUAUUGAAGAGUAAUGGAUAGUUUUUGAAUAAUGAGAAGUGAAUCUGUGAAAUAAAUUAGAAAUUGAUUUAUAAAUUAUUGAUUAUGUAAUUGGAGUAUUAUGUGAUUGAAUUAUAUGAGAAGUUAUUAAAAGAUUGAUUAUGGAUGAAAGAUUAUGAUUGUUGUUUAUUGAGAGUUGUAGGUAUUUUGGAGAAAAGAAGUCCAUGAUUACAGAAAUUCUAUGAAUCUAGAUUGGUUGGAGUGAAGUCUGUUAUUCUUGGUGUUAAAUGGAAUUUAUGAAUUUUGAGUAGUCUUUUAAGAGUACAAGGUUGCACACUAUUGUUAUCAGUUGAUGAAGGAGUAUUGUUACUAGAAGGAAGCAUUGUAGUAUUUCUUAGUAUUUUAGUGGUUUGGAAUACAGUU
rnacentral:lncRNA from 1 species